rnacentral:misc_RNA from 1 species
GAAAUGCGAUAAGUAGUGUGAAUUGCAGAAUUCAGUGAAUCAUCGAAUCUUUGAACGCACAUUGCGCCCUUUGGUAUUCCUUAGGGCAUGCCUGUUCGAGCGUCAUCUAAACCUUCAAGCCCUGCUUGGUGUUGGGUGCCUGUCCCGCCUCCGCGCGCGGACUCACCUCAAAUCCAUUGGCGGCCCCCGCGUCGGCCACGAGCGCAGCAGAAACGCGAACUCGUGAGCCCGUCCGGGCGGCUCCCAGAAGCUACACCCACCCAGUUUGACCUCGGAUCAGGUAGUGAUACCCGCUGAACUUAAGC